rnacentral:rRNA from 1 species
UACGUAGGGGGCUAGCGUUGUCCGGAUUUAUUGGGCGUAAAGAGCUCGUAGGUGGUUCGGUUAGUCGGAUGUGAAAUCUCCAGGCUCAACUGGAAUGCCGGUGGAUACUGCGGGGCUAGAGUCCGGAAGGGGCGAGUGGAAUUCCCGGUGUAGUGGUGAUAUGCGUAGAUAUCGGGAGGAACACCAGUGGCGAAGGCGGCUCACUGGCCCGAUACUGACGCUGAGGCACGAAAGCGUGGGGAGCAAACAGGG